ACUUAUAUAGUUUAACUUAAAACAUUUCAUUUUCAAUGAAAAAAUAAAUUAUUUUUAUAAGAU
rnacentral:tRNA from 1 species